AACGAACGCUGGCGGCAGGCUUAACACAUGCAAGUCGAACGCCCCGCAAGGGGAGUGGCAGACGGGUGAGUAACGCGUGGGAACAUACCCUUUUCUACGGAAUAGCUCUGGGAAACUGGAAUUAAUACCGUAUACGCCCUACGGGGGAAAGAUUUAUCGGGGAAGGAUUGGCCCGCGUUGGAUUAGCUAGUUGGUGGGGUAAAGGCCUACCAAGGCGACGAUCCAUAGCUGGUCUGAGAGGAUGAUCAGCCACAUUGGGACUGAGACACGGCCCAAACUCCUACGGGAGGCAGCAGUGGGGAAUAUUGGACAAUGGGCGCAAGCCUGAUCCAGCCAUGCCGCGUGAGUGAUGAAGGCCUUAGGGUUGUAAAGCUCUUUCACCGGUGAAGAUAAUGACGGUAGUCGGAGAAGAAGCCCCGGCUAACUUCGUGCCAGCCGCCGCGGUAAUAC
rnacentral:rRNA from 1 species